rnacentral:rRNA from 1 species
CCCGGCCAUAAACUUUGGAAAUACCCGCCAGAUAAUUACGAGCCACAGCUUAAAAUUUAAAGGACUUGGCGGUGCUUUAUAUCCACCUAGAGGAGCCUGUUCUAUAAUCGAUACCCCCCGAUCAACCUCACCACCCCUUGCCAAUACAGCCUAUAUACCACCGUCCUAGCUAACCCUUUAAAGGAACAACAGCAAGCAAAAUAACUUUUAGUAAAAAAGUCAGGUCAAGGUGUAGCAUAUGAGAUGGGAAGAAAUGGGCUACAUUUUCUAAACAGAAAACACGAAAUAAUCUAUGAAACAAAAUAUGAAGGAGGAUUUAGUAGUAAAAAGAAAAAAGAGUGUUCUUUUUAAAUAGGUAAUAAAGCACGCAC